rnacentral:rRNA from 1 species
UACGUAGGCAGCAAGCGUUGUUCGGAAUUACUGGGCGUAAAGAGUGUGUAGGCGGUGCUCUAAGUUCGGUGUGAAAUCUCCCGGCUCAACUGGGAGGGUGCGCCGGAAACUGGGGUGCUGGAGCGCGGGAGAGGAAAGCGGAAUUCCUGGUGUAGCGGUGAAAUGCGUAGAUAUCAGGAGGAACACCGGCGGUGUAGACGGCUUUCUGGACCGUAACUGACGCUGAGACACGAAAGCGUGGGUAGCAAACAGG